AACGAACGCUGGCGGCGUGGAUAAGACAUGCAAGUCGAACGAGAGAAUUGCUAGCUUGCUAAUAAUUCUCUAGUGGCGCACGGGUGAGUAACACGUGAGUAACCUGCCCCCGAGAGCGGGAUAGCCCUGGGAAACUGGGAUUAAUACCGCAUAGUAUCGAAAGAUUAAAGCAGCAAUGCGCUUGGGGAUGGGCUCGCGGCCUAUUAGUUAGUUGGUGAGGUAACGGCUCACCAAGGCGAUGACGGGUAGCCGGUCUGAGAGGAUGUCCGGCCACACUGGAACUGAGACACGGUCCAGACACCUACGGGUGGCAGCAGUCGAGAAUCAUUCACAAUGGGGGAAACCCUGAUGGUGCGACGCCGCGUGGGGGAAUGAAGGUCUUCGGAUUGUAAACCCCUGUCAUGUGGGAGCAAAUUAAAAAGAUAGUACCACAAGAGGAAGAGACGGCUAACUCUGUGCCAGCAGCCGCGGUAAUACAGAGGUCUCAAGCGUUGUUCGGAAUCACUGGGCGUAAAGCGUGCGUAGGCUGUUUCGUAAGUUGUGUGUGAAAGGCGCGGGCUCAACCCGCGGACGGCUCAUGAUACUGCGAGACUAGAGUAAUGGAGGGGGAACCGGAAUUCUCGGUGUAGCAGUGAAAUGCGUAGAUAUUGAGAGGAACACUCGUGGCGAAGGCGGGUUCCUGGACAUUAACUGACGCUGAGGCACGAAGGCCAGGGGAGCCAAA
rnacentral:rRNA from 1 species